rnacentral:rRNA from 1 species
GGGGAAUAUUGCACAAUGGGGGGAACCCUGAUGCAGCGACGCCGCGUGAGGGAAGAAGGUUUUUGGAUUGUAAACCUCUGUCCUUGGUAAAGAAGCAAGACGGUAGCCAAGGAGGAAGCCACGGCUAACUACGUGCCAGCAGCCGCGGUAAUACGUAGGUGGCAAGCGUUGUCCGGAAUUACUGGGUGUAAAGGGAGCGUAGGCGGUUAUGCAAGUUGAAUGUGAAAUCUAUCGGCUCAACUGAUAGGCUGCGUUCAAAACUGUAUAUCUAGAGUGAAGUAGAGGCAGGCGGAAUUCCUAGUGUAGCGGUGAAAUGCGUAAAUAUUAGGAGGAACACCAGUGGCGAAGGCGGCUUUCUGGACGAUGACUGACGUUGAGGCUCGAAAGCGUGGGGAGCAAACA